UGGGGAAUAUUGCACAAUGGGCGCAAGCCUGAUGCAGCCAUGCCGCGUGUAUGAAGAAGGCCUUCGGGUUGUAAAGUACUUUCAGUCGGGAGGAAGGUGGUAGGUUAAUAACCUUAUCAAUUGACGUUACCGACAGAAGAAGCACCGGCUAACUCCGUGCCAGCAGCCGCGGUAAUACGGAGGGUGCAAGCGUUAAUCGGAAUUACUGGGCGUAAAGCGCACGCAGGCGGUUGAUUGAGUCAGAUGUGAAAUCCCCGGGCUUAACCCGGGAAUUGCAUCUGAUACUGGUCAGCUAGAGUCUUGUAGAGGGGGGUAGAAUUCCAUGUGUAGCGGUGAAAUGCGUAGAGAUGUGGAGGAAUACCGGUGGCGAAGGCGGCCCCCUGGACAAAGACUGACGCUCAGGUGCGAAAGCGUGGGGAGCAAACAGG
rnacentral:rRNA from 1 species